rnacentral:piRNA from 1 species
UUUCUCCUUGCUAAAGAGGAUUUUGUUGGU